GCGUUUUGCUUUGAUUUUACGAUGAAAUCGCCCAAUUAGAAUGUAUAAAUGCCUAGUGGGCCAAUUUUGGUAAGCAGAACUGGCGAUGUGGAAUGAACCAAAAGUCAGGUUAAGGUGCCAGACAUUGGCGCUCAUGAAAUACCAGAAAAGGUGUUGGUCGAUAUAGACAGCAGGACGGUGGCCAUGGAAGUUGGAAUCCGCCAAGGAGUGUGUAACAACUCACCUGCCGAAUCGACUAGCCCUGAAAAUGGAUAGCGUUUGAGCUCCAGGCCCAUACCUGACCGUCUCAAUUACGCACUUUUUUUUCGGAAAAGGUGUAAUGAACGUUGAGACGGGUAGGAAGGUCGCGACAGUGUUGCUUUGAAGAGUUUUGAGCGUGAGCUCGCUCGGAGCCGCUGUUGGUGCAGAUCUUG
rnacentral:ncRNA from 1 species